GGAGGGGCCUCAAAGUGGCUGAGAAAAGCACAGCAGCUGGACUGAGAACAGCCAAACAGAGUAAGAGUCACACAAAUCAUCUGAGCCAGCCCAGACACCACAGCCUGAGAUGCUUGGGUGGGGGCUGGAUGCAGAGAUUUAGGCUCUAGAGGUCAGUCCCCAGGAGAGGAAUGGGGCUGGUGGUGUGGAGACAGACAGAGGGGCUAAGGAGUAGUGAUCCAUGGGCAGAGGACUGGUAUGCCACGGGCCAAAGAGGGGAAUGCCAUGGCAAAGGGAACCCAGGAGAAGGCCUGGACUCACAGGAGAGGCAAGGUGCCAUUGCUGGGGAGGGCAAGAGGAAGAGGGGCGGACCACCAUAGGAAACUCCCUGCAUUGGAGCAUGUGCAUCCCCAUGGGCUCUCAGAGGGUGGGGUGGCUCUGUCACAGACCACAGGUGGUGAGACAACUCUUGCUCCUUUAGGGGAGACUGGAUGCUUCCUGUGCAGGCUACCAGUGGCCAGGCAUCUCUUGUGUGGGCUAAGGGCAUCAGGGGGCUAAGUGUGAUGUGGUGCCUCUUGCACAGUAUACAGGUGGCAGGGACAGAAUGCAGUGGUCAUCUCAGAGGUUGAGGGAGGCAUGGCUUGCCACCACUAUGCUCACUUCACACCUGCCCUGCAGCUAGACUGCCAAACGCUCUGGGUGGCACCCAGACACUUGGUCACUGUCCCUUCCCUACAACUAGGAGCAGUUGGUUCAGCACCUCCUGCGUGGGAUAGGUGGGACAGGGUGCUUCUUAUGUGGUCUGAAGAUGGUGGGGGCAAACCACCAAAGUUAUCUCUGAUUCCAGAGGUGGGCGUGGCCCACUGUGACUGGGGAUACCUGAACAAAAUUCACUUGCAGCCCCAACCACCUCAGAGGGCACCACAGAGAAAGACAUCGCAACAGCACAACAACUGCUGUUGCUCUCAUUCCCCUGGGAGCACACCAGCCCUGCUGCUGCCAUUGCCAAACACUCUGGGCAGUGCCAAGACACUUGAUCACUGUCCCUACCCAGGAACCUGCAACAAGGAGCAACAUGUGUAGCACCUUCUGUGGGGGCUAAGCAGGACAGGGUUCUUCUGGCAUGCUCUACAGGCAAACCACUGCAGUUAUCUCUGGCCUCAGAGGUGGGAGUGGCUCACCACCACUAGGGGUCCUUGAACAGACACCACUUGCAGUCCUAUUCACCUCAAGAGAACCACAGAGGAGGACAUUGUGACCAAACACCACCUGUUGGUGCUCUGGCACCCCUGGGAACACACCUGCCCUGCUGCUCCCACUGCCACAUGCUCCAGGCAGUAUCCACAUGCCUGAUCUCUGCCACUUCCCAGGAUCCUGCAAAUAGGAGCAGGCUAUAGCACCUCCUAUGUAGGCUAAGUGAGAUGGGUUGCUUCAUGCAAGGUCUAUAGGUGGUGGCAGCAAACCACCACAGUUAUUGCUGACUCUGGAGAUAGUUAUCACCCGCUACCAAUAGGGGGUCACUGAACAGGCACCACCUGUGGUUCCAAUCACCUCAGAGGAGGGCAGUGCAAUUAAACACAAGCUGGUGUUGUUCUCACUCCCCUGGAAACUCGUGGACCAUACUUCUGCUACUGCCAAAUGUUCUGGUCACCUUGUAGAUCUGCCUAGUGCUCAUUACCACUUUCCAGGGUCAUUCAACUAGGAGUAGCCUGUGCCACCUUCCUGCAGGUCCUUGCUGCUAUUGAGAGCCCUAUGACCAGGCACUGACUGCUGGCCAUACAAAUUACCACCUUUUCCCUGAAAACACAUUGAGCAUCCUGGGGAUAACAGCCUGCUCACACUGAAGAAAGAGACAGCAAAUAUUUAACCCCCCACACCAAAAAUAAAUAGUAACCCCCCAAAAAAUACAAAGGGGUAAACUUGCAUAGAAGUAGUCUUACAAGUCUACAGUUUGGCUUCCCCAAACUCACAGAAAAUGAAAAACAUGGGCAAGAUGAAGAAGCUCAGAAACCAUUCCCACUUAAAGCAAUAGGAGAAUUCACCUAAAGCAGUCAACAAUGAAACAGACCUCUGCAGUGAUAGACAUUGAUUUAAAAAAGGAGAUAGUGAGGGAGUUCCCAUCAUGGUACAGAGGCCAACAAAUCCAACUAGGAACCAUAUGGUUGCAGAUUCGACCCCUGGCCUUGCUCAGUGGUUUAAGGCUCUGGCAUUGCUGUGAGCUGUGGUGUAGGUUGUAGACAUGGCUCAGAUCAGGCAUUGCUUUGGCUCUGGCAUAGGCCGGUGGCUACAGCUCUGAUUAGACCCCUAGCCUGGGAAUCUCCAUAUGCUGUGGGUGCAGCCCAAGAAGAAGACGAAAAAAAAAGGGGGGGGUGGACAUAGUGAAAAUACUGAAGGAAUUAAGGGAGGAUAUGAACAUUAAUACAGAUUUCUUUAGAAAGGUACUAGAAAAUAUAAGGAGGAGCCAAGAACAACUGGAAAAUUCAUUUGCAGAGAUGCAAACUGAGCUAAAGGCAGUAAAGAGCAGAAUGAAUAAUGCAGAGGAAUGAAUUAGUGACUUGGAAGAUAGAAUAAUGGAAAUCACCCAAUCAGGACAGCAGGCAGAAAACCAAAUGGAAAAAAAAAUGAAAGCAAUAUAAGAGUCAUAUGGGAUAAUAUAAAGUGAAGCAAUCUACACAUAAUAGGAAUUACAGAAGGA
rnacentral:lncRNA from 1 species